rnacentral:rRNA from 1 species
ACUCCUACGGGAGGCAGCAGUGGGGAAUAUUGCACAAUGGGGGAAACCCUGAUGCAGCCAUGCCGCGUGUGUGAAGAAGGCCUUCGGUUGUAAAGCACUUUCAGUAGGGAGGAAGGUAGUGUAGUUAACACCUGCAUUAUUUGACGUUACCUACAGAAGAAGCACCGGCUAACUCCGUGCCAGCAGCCGCGGUAAUACGGAGGGGUGCGAGCGUUAAUCGGAAUUACUGGGCGUAAAGCGCAUGCAGGCGGCCUGUUAAGUCAGAUGUGAAAGCCCGGGGGCUUAACCUCGGAAUUGCAUUUGAAACUGGCAGGCUAGAGUCUUGUAGAGGGGGUAGAAUUUCAGGUGUAGCGGUGAAAUGCGUAGAGAUCUGAAGGAAUACCAGUGGCGAAGGCGGCCCCCUGGACAAAGACUG